GGAGACGUAUCGAAGUGGUCAUAACGGGACUGACUCGAAAUCAGUUGUGCCUCCGGGCACCGUGGGUUCGAAUCCCACCGUCUCCGCCA
rnacentral:tRNA from 1 species